rnacentral:rRNA from 1 species
GAUGAACGCUAGCUACAGGCUUAACACAUGCAAGUCGAGGGGUUUGGCUUCGGCAAACGACCGGCGCACGGGUGAGUAACGCGUAUCCAACCUGCCAUUCAUAUUGGGAUAGCCCUCCGAAAGAGGAUUAAUACCGAAUAACAUAUUGUUGUUGCAUGAUAUCAAUAUGAAAGCUGAGGCGAUGAAUGAUGGGGAUGCGUUCCAUUAGGUAGUAGGCGGGGUAACGGCCCACCUAGCCAACGAUGGAUGGGGGUUCUGAGAGGAAGGUCCCCCACACUGGAACUGAGACACGGUCCAGACUCCUACGGGAGGCAGCAGUGAGGAAUAUUGGUCAAUGGUCGAAGGACUGAACCAGCCAUGCCGCGUGAAGGUGACGGCCCUAUGGGUCUUAAACUUCUUUUGCAAGGGAGCAAUAAGGUCUACGUGUAGACUGAUGAGAGUACCUUGCGAAUAAGCAUCGGCUAACUCCGUG